rnacentral:rRNA from 1 species
AUUGAACGCUGGCGGCAUGCCUUACACAUGCAAGUCGAACGGUAACGGGUCCUUCGGGAUGCCGACGAGUGGCGAACGGGUGAGUAAUAUAUCGGAACGUGCCCAGUAGUGGGGGAUAACUGCUCGAAAGAGCAGCUAAUACCGCAUACGACCUGAGGGUGAAAGGGGGGGAUCGCAAGACCUCUCGCUAUUGGAGCGGCCGAUAUCAGAUUAGCUAGUUGGUGGGGUAAAGGCCUACCAAGGCAACGAUCUGUAGUUGGUCUGAGAGGACGACCAGCCACACUGGGACUGAGACACGGCCCAGACUCCUACGGGAGGCAGCAGUGGGGAAUUUUGGACAAUGGGCGCAAGCCUGAUCCAGCAAUGCCGCGUGCAGGAAGAAGGCCUUCGGGUUGUAAACUGCUUUUGUCAGGGAAGAAAUCUUCUGGGCUAAUACCCCGGGAGGAUGACGGUACCUGAAGAAUAAGCACCGGCUAACUACGUGCCAGCAGCCGCGGUAAUACGUAGGGUGCGAGCGUUAAUCGGAAUUACUGGGCGUAAAGCGUGCGCAGGCGGCUUUGCAAGACAGAUGUGAAAUCCCCGGGCUCAACCUGGGAACUGCAUUUGUGACUACAAGGCUAGAGUACGGCAGAGGGGGAUGGAAUUCCGCGUGUAGCAGUGAAAUGCGUAGAUAUGCGGAGGAACACCAAUGGCGAAGGCAAUCCCCUGGGCCUGUACUGACGCUCAUGCACGAAAGCGUGGGGAGCAAACAGGAUUAGAUACCCUGGUAGUCCACGCCCUAAACGAUGUCAACUGGUUGUUGGACGGCUUGCUGUUCAGUAACGAAGCUAACGCGUGAAGUUGACCGCCUGGGGAGUACGGCCGCAAGGUUGAAACUCGAAGGAAUUGACGGGGACCCGCACAAGCGGUGGAUGAUGUGGUUUAAUUCGAUGCAACGCGAAAAACCUUACCUACCCUUGACAUGUCAAGAAUUCUGCAGAGAUGUGGAAGUGCUCGAAAGAGAACUUGAACACAGGUGCUGCAUGGCCGUCGUCAGCUCGUGUCGUGAGAUGUUGGGUUAAGUCCCGCAACGAGCGCAACCCUUGUCAUUAGUUGCUACGCAAGAGCACUCUAAUGAGACUGCCGGUGACAAACCGGAGGAAGGUGGGGAUGACGUCAGGUCCUCAUGGCCCUUAUGGGUAGGGCUACACACGUCAUACAAUGGCCGGUACAGAGGGCUGCCAACCCGCGAGGGGGAGCCAAUCCCAGAAAACCGGUCGUAGUCCGGAUCGUAGUCUGCAACUCGACUGCGUGAAGUCGGAAUCGCUAGUAAUCGCGGAUCAGCUUGCCGCGGUGAAUAAGGUCCCGGGUCU